UCAAAGCAGCAAUGCGUUUGAGGAGGGGGUCGCGGCUGAUUAGCUAGUUGGUGAGGUAACGGCUCACCAAGGCGAUGAUCAGUAGCCGGCCUGAGAGGGCGCACGGCCACACUGGAACUGAAACACGGCCCAGACUCCUACGGGAGGCAGCAGUGGGGAAUUUUGCGCAAUGGGGGAAACCCUGACGCAGCAACGCCGCGUGGAGGAUGAAGUCCCUUGGGACGUAAACUCCGUUCGAUCGGGACGAUUAUGACGGUACCGGAAGAAGAAGCCCCGGCUAACUUCGUGCCAGCAGCCGCGGUAAUACGAGGGGGGCAAGCGCUGUUCGGAAUUAUUGGGCGUAAAGGGCGCGUAGGCGGUGCGGUAAGUCUGAUGUGAAAUCUCCGGGCUCAACUCGGA
rnacentral:rRNA from 1 species